GCGCCGUUCCGGCCGUUCCCGGCAUCCUUUAGCAGUGAGGUCGGUCUUGUUUUGACCGGUGAGUUGAGGGCUCUCUUCUGGCAGCAGUGGCGACGCCUGGGGUGGCCGGAGUUGCAAGAUCCGACAAAGCGAAGUUUGGGGGGCAGUCGGCAUUUUUGGGUUUUUUCGGCGAGCUCUGGCGAGCUAUGGACGAUCAGAGGACGUAUCCCGACUCUCCUCAGCUCAAGCUUCGCAAUGGCACCGGUUUCGUGGCGAUCGGGCUUCGUUUACAAAUCGACG
rnacentral:lncRNA from 1 species